UACAAUAAACACCUGCUGCGCCCUGCGCUUGAAACCAGCUCUCUGUCUCCCAUGGAUGUAUCUGUCUUGAAUGGAACAUUUGCAACAGAGCCAGCGGUCCUGUCACAAACGAAUCCAAAAUGACCAGCAGGUGGCAAACUCUGCUAACGGAUAAGAAUUCAGACCACACAACCUUGAUAUUCAUCACAGUCAGCAAUAGUAAGAUAUGAUCAAUAAUGAUAAGUUACACAAUUAUUCCAGAGGUCGCAGAAAAAGAUACAAUAGGAUUAUAGGAUAUUAUUUUUGUAUAGGCUUACACCAAACAUCUAAAGGCAUAGUCAAACAAUAUUUUGAUCUGCAAAUUAUGAGAUUGUCCCAAGGACUCCUUAGGUGCAGAAUGCCUGGGGUAUAGUCACUGGGAUAUGUUUAUCAUGCAGAAUGGACUAUUGACACAAUUAUAUGUUGUUCAUUCUGUCUGCAAUGCUGAAUGUUCGCUGGUCUGCUUAGGCCCCUGAAGGUGAGUCUCUAGGUAACACACGCAUGCACGCACACACACGCACACACGCACACACGGAAAAAGCACUGGGAUAGCUAGGACGUUUGGAGGUGAUUUGUGAUUUGCUCCUGUUGUAACUUAAUCUCGUCACUCUCCCUCCAG
rnacentral:lncRNA from 1 species